rnacentral:rRNA from 1 species
UGGGGAACCUUGCGCAAUGGGCGAAAGCCUGACGCAGCAACGCCGCGUGAGUGAAGAAGGCCUUCGGGUUGUAAAGCUCUGUCGCGGGGGACAAAAACCCAUUAGGUUAAUAGCCUAGUGGACUGAUGGUACCCUGAAAGGAAGCACCGGCUAACUUCGUGCCAGCGGCCGCGGUAAUACGAAGGGUGCAAGCGUUACUCGGAAUCAUUGGGCGUAAAGGGCAGGUAGGUGGUUACGUAUGUCUGAGGUGAAAUCCCCGAGCUUAACUUGGGAAGUGCCUUGGAAACGGCGUAACUAGAGUAUCGGAGAGAGGCGUAGAAUUCCCGGUGUAGCGGUGAAAUGCGUAGAGAUCGGGAGGAAUACCAGAGGCGAAGGCGGCGACUUGGACGAUUACUGACACUCAACUGCGAAAGCAUGGGGAGCAAACAGG